rnacentral:rRNA from 1 species
AGGUCAAGCGGGGCUACCCGC